rnacentral:rRNA from 1 species
GAGAAUUUGCCUUUAGGAGGGGGAUAAUAACUGGAAACGGUUGCUAAUACCCCAUAUGCUUUCGAGUGAAAUGGAGUUUUCCGCCUAGAGAGAAGCUUGCGGCUGAUUAGCUUGUUGGUGGGGUAAUGGCCUACCAAGGCGACGAUCAGUAUCUGGUUUGAGAGGAUGAUCAGACACACUGGAACUGAGACACGGUCCAGACUCCUACGGGAGGCAGCAGUGGGGAAUUUUCCGCAAUGGGCGCAAGCCUGACGGAGCAAUCUCGCGUGAGGGAUGACGGCCUAUGGGUUGUAAACCUCUUUUUUCAGGGAGGAAUAAAAUGACGUGUACCUGAAGAAUAAGCAUCGGCUAACUCCGUGCCAGCAGCCGCGGUAAGACGGAGGAUGCAAGUGUUAUCCGGAAUCACUGGGCGUAAAGCGUCUGUAGGUGGUUUAGUAAGUCAACUGUUAAAUCUUGAAGCUCAACUUCAAAAUCGCAGUCGAAACUAUUAGACUAGAGUAUAGUAGGGGUAAAGGGAAUUUCCAGUGGAGCGGUGAAAUGCGUAGAGAUUGGAAAGAACACCGAUGGCGAAGGCACUUUACUGGGCUAUUACUGACACUCAGAGACGAAAGCUAGGGUAGCAAAUGGGA